rnacentral:rRNA from 1 species
CAGCGAUGGCCGUGUAGUGGACUGCCAUGGCGUUGACGGGAGCGGGGGAUUAGGGUUCGAUUCCGGAGAGGGAGCCUGAGAAAUAGCUACCACUUCUACGGAGGGCAGCAGGCGCGCAAAUUGCCCAAUGUCAAAAAAAAACGAUGAGGCAGCGAAAAGAAAUAGAGCCGACAGUGCCUUUUGGUAUUGUCGUUUUCAAUGGGGGAUAUUUAAAUCCAUCGAAAAUCGAGUAACAAUUGGAGGACAAGUCUGGUGCCAGCACCCGCGGUAAUUCCAGCUCCAAAAGCGUAUAUUAAUGCUGU